CUUUUUAAAAGCAUCGGCGGUCGAAUCCGCCUUUCUUUUUUCCUAUCAGAUCUAUUUGGUGGCAGAUCUAAGCCGGGAUGCAUGAGAUUUUUGGCAGGGUAGUGGUGGCUACACGAUUUUAGUCUGAUUUGGUUCCACUCUUCCAUCUGCUUAACCUGCUUUGUUCGAAGGUACAGAUUUCAUAUUCCCUCAACCUCUCUGCACUUUCUCUCUCAUAUCCACUGAUGUCUCCUCUUUACAGAGCAUGAAAGUACAAAUUCUUUUCGGAACUUUUCUUAAAUAUGUACUCCUUUCUGUAAUUUUAUUUUCUUAAAGUUUCUGUUCUUUUUUCUGCAGAGCUUAUCACAAGGCCAAAAAAUAUACCCACCCAUUUGGAGUUAUAUUUAACAGAAAUUUUAUUUUGUUUGUUUUAAAAAAAUUGGAUUCUUUGGUGAAAAUGGAGAUCUCUAUGAAGUGAGUAUUUUUGUUUUGUGUGUUUUUGGUCAGCAAAUUUUUAUUUUGUUUGUUUACAAAAAAUUGGGUUGUUUGGAGAAAAUGGAGAUCUCUAUGAAGUGGGUAUUUUUGUUGUGUUGUUUUGUAUUUUUGGUCAGUAAAAUGCAGGGGUGUGGAGUAAAGUAGAACACGUUUUGUUUUUUGGGCUUCAAUCUUUUUAACUUUCGUAAACUAGAAUAUCAGAGAAACAAGCAGACCCAAUAAAAUGGUGUUUGUAACAGACCCAAUAUUCCAAGUUUAAGAAAAGCUUAAAUCUUUUUAACUUUCUUGUUUACUCAAAAGUUUUUGUUUGAGAUUGAAACUCAAUUUCAGUGUCCGACUUUACCUGGAACUUAGAUUAUUCAUGAAUAAUGUGGUUUUCUUGAAUAUCAUAUUCAUGAAAUUUAUGUGCAGUUUCUUUAUUUAGUUAGUGGCAGCAAAAACAUAGGAUUGAAUUUAGUUUCUUUAUUGUAUACUGUCGAAUUAUGCGACUUUUCUUUAUUCAGUGGAAGAAAAAACUUUAGCUUUUUUAUUUUCGUAGAUUAUAAUGUUUUGCUUCAUUUUUCAUUGAUUUUUUACAUUUUUUAUAAUAUAUCUUCUAGUUUUAGUCUUCAGUCUUAAUACUUUACUCGUCUCCCUCAACCUCUCGCUGCACUCUGAUGUCUCCUUUUUUACAAAGCAUGAAAGUAUGAUUUUUGUUGUUGUAACUUUUUUUGAAUAUCUACUCCUUUCUGUAAUUUUAAUUUCUUGAAGUCUUAUUUUCUCUGCAGAGCUUAUCACAAGGACAAAAAAUAUACCCCACCCAUUUGGAGUUAUAUUUAACGGAGUUUUUAUUUUGUUUGUUUUAAAAAAACUGAAUUAUUUGGUGAAAAUGGAGGUCUAUGAAUAGGGUGUUGGGUGUGGGUCCUCACCCAUGAGAUAGAAUCCAAGAUAGAAAAGAAUGAGUUUAUAUACUUGAUAUUAAUCCAAUUAGAAAUUGGGUUAAUGGAAGUAAUAUUGGAAUUGGAGAUUACAUGAAAGAAAUCCAAGUUGAAAAAGGAUUUACUUGUUAGAGUGGUUGGUGACCAAGACAAGGAGAUGUGAUCCCUAAUUUGAUUAGGAGAAUAAAUUGUUUCUAAUCCAUAAUAGGAAUGGAUUAAGAAGAGUACUAUAAAUAAGGCUAUGAGGGAGUCUUAUUAGAUACAUGAGAUAGAGAAGCUUGGUGGUAAGAAGAUACCAAAAGAAUAAAUUGAGAGAAUUACUGUUUGUUGUUCGUGGAUAUCCGCCAUCAUCUCCGUUCAAUUGAAAGCUUGAAGACUUUAUUGCUUGGGGUGUUUUUUGGUGGUGAAGUUAAUUAGGUUUCUCAACUUAAUUAAAGGUAAAUUUGUAUUAUCUCAAUUUAUUGUGUAACCUCAAGUUUUAGGGCAUAAAACUUGAGAGGAUUAUUGUAAGCCCAUUAUUAGUGAUAUAGUGGAGAUUCGGAGUUUGACCCGUGGUUUUUACCUCUUAAUUUUAGAGGGUUUUCCACGUAAAUUUGGUGUCUUGCUUGUGGAUGGUUAUUUGUUAUUUUUGUUCUCAUAAUUGGUUUUGUUGAUUUCAUAUUUAAUUGCACAAAGACGGAAAAGUAAUUCCUGGGAUAUAGAUUAUUUUUGGCGUACUUUUCCCAACAGUGGUAUCAGAGCUUGGUUAUUUUUGUGGUUUUCUUGUGCGAAUUAAAUGGAGGAUUGGACAGCAGGUUGCAUGAUUAAUCUCAAGGCUACAAAUUAUGCAAUUUGGAAGCCAAGAAUGGAGGAUUUGCUUUACUGCAAGGAUUUAUACGAGCCACUUGAGAACGAUGGAGUUAAGCCCACAAACAAGAGUGACGCGCAGUGGAACAAGAUGAACAGGAAGACUAUUGGUCUGAUCAGAUCGUGGAUUGAUCAAAGUGUGUUUCAUCAUGUUGCCACGGAAACUAAAGCCUAUGCUCUCUGGCAGAAAUUGGAGUCCAUGUAUGAAAGGAAGACGGCGCAAAAUAAAGCUUUUUUGAUUAGGAAGCUUGUGAAUUCUAAAUUCAAGGAUGGAAACUCCGUUGCAGAACACUUGAGUGAUUUUCAGAGUUUGAUAAAUCAGUUGAGUACGAUGAAGAUGGUAAUUGACGAUGAGAUGCAGGCUUUGUUGUUGUUGAGCUCUUUGCCUGAUAGCUGGGAGACGCUAGUUGUAUCGUUGAGUAACUCCGCUCCUAAUGGCAAGCUGACUAUGGAUACAGUUAAGGAUAGUUUGUUUAACGAGGAACAGAGGCGAAGAGAUACUAUGGUGAUUAGCGCUGAGUCACAAGUUUUUGUCGCACAGAGUAGGGGCAAAAACAAAGGGAGAAACUCUCCUGAAGAUGACAAAUUCAGGGGAAGGUCAAGAGAUAGAAAAGAAGUAAUUUGCUUUCACUGCCAGAAGCCGGGUCACAUAAGACGAGAGUGCAGAUUUUUAAAGAAGGAGCAGUCUAAGGAAAAAGAUGAGGAUAAAGAUUCGAUUGUGUAUCUAUCCGACGUUGAUGUAGCUAUUGUUUGUGAUGAUAAACCCAAGUGUCAUGUUAAUGAUUGGAUUAUUGAUUCGGGUGCUUCGUUCCAUGCUACUUCGCGUGGUGAAAUCUUCACAUCCUACAGUAGUGGUGAUUUUGGCCAUGUGCGGAUGGGAAACGGAAGUGCAUCCAAGAUUAUAGGCAUUGGAGAUAUUUGUUUGGAAACUAACAGUGGUUGCAAGUUGAUGCUGAGAAAAGUCAGACAUGUUCCAGAUAUUCGUUUUAAUUUGAUCUCUGCUGGUAAGCUUGAUGAGAAUGAUUAUAAAAGUUACUUUGGUAAAGGUCAAUGGAAGCUCACCAAAGGGUCUCUAGUGGUCACUAGAGGUAAGAAGGUAGACACUCUUUAUACGAUGCGGGCGCAUGUGAGAGGUGUUGAAGAUGGGGGAGUUAGGCAGAAAAAGGUGUGGUACAAAGCCGUGCGAGAUGGGAGGAAAGCCUUGUAUGAGAACCACAAAAAGAAAGCUCUUCGCUUUAAAUGGGUACCAAAAGUGAAGAAGAAAAGUGAUAGCUCGCAGCCAGGAUACAAAGCGGUUGUGAAUGAAUUUGGCAAGCAAAAAUCUGUGAAGUUUGAGUUAGAUCCUCCCAUUGAGAAGAACCAUGCCGAUGAGACAAAGCCGGACAUGAAGAUAUUUGAAAAUUCCAAGAAGAUUGAGUUGAGCCAAGACUUCGUUGGAAUUAACUCCGAGUAAGGAGUUGUGGUUGGCGAUCCCUCCUCUCAUGGGUUCGGAGGGGGAGAUUGUUAGGUGUGGGUCCUCACCCAUGAGAUAUAAUCCAAGAUAGAAAAGAAUGAGUUUAUAUACUUGAUAUUAAUCCAAUUAGAAAUUGGGUUAAUGGAAGCAAUAUUGGAAUUGGAGAUUACAUGAAAGGAAUCCAAGUUGAAAAAGGAUUUACUUGUUAGAGUGGUUGGUGACCAAGACAAGGAGAUGUGAUCCCUAAUUUGAUUAGGAGAAUAAAUUGUUUCUAAUCCAUAAUAGGAAUGGAUUAAGAAGAGUACUAUAAAUAAGGCUAUGAGGGAGUCUUAUUUGAUACAUGAGAUAGAGAAGCUUGGUGGUAAGAAGAUACCAAAAGAAUAAAUUGAGAGAAUUACUGUUUGUUGUUCGUGGAUAUCCGCCAUCAUCUCCGUUCAAUUGAAAGCUUGAAGACUUUAUUGCUUGGGGUGUUUUUUGGUGGUGAAGUUAAUUAGGUUUCUCAACUUAAUUAAAGGUAAAUUUGUAUUAUCUCAAUUUAUUGUGUAACCUCAAGUUUUAGGGCAUAAAACUUGAGAGGAUUAUUGUAAGCCCAUUAUUAGUGAUAUAGUGGAGAUUCGGAGUUUGACCCGUGGUUUUUACCUCUUAAUUUUAGAGGGUUUUCCACGUAAAUUUGGUGUCUUGCUUGUGGAUGGUUAUUUGUUAUUUUUGUUCUCAUAAUUGGUUUUGUUGAUUUCAUAUUUAAUUGCACAAAGACGGAAAAGUAAUUCCUGGGAUAUAGAUUAUUUUUGGCGUACUUUUCCCAACAGUGGUAUCAGAGCUUGGUUAUUUUUGUGGUUUUCUUGUGCGAAUUAAAUGGAGGAUUGGACAGCAGGUUGCAUGAUUAAUCUCAAGGCUACAAAUUAUGCAAUUUGGAAGCCAAGAAUGGAGGAUUUGCUUUACUGCAAGGAUUUAUACGAGCCACUUGAGAACGAUGGAGUUAAGCCCACAAACAAGAGUGACGAGCAGUGGAACAAGAUGAACAGGAAGACUAUUGGUCUGAUCAGAUCGUGGAUUGAUCAAAGUGUGUUUCAUCAUGUUGCCACAGAAACUAAAGCCUAUGCUCUCUGGCAGAAAUUGGAGUCCAUGUAUGAAAGGAAGUCGGCGCAAAAUAAAGCUUUUUUGAUUAGGAAGCUUGUGAAUUCUAAAUUCAAGGAUGGAAACUCCGUUGCAGAACACUUGAGUGAUUUUCAGAGUUUGAUAAAUCAGUUGAGUACGAUGAAUAUGGUAAUUGACAAUGAGAUGCAGGCUUUGUUGUUGUUGAGCUCUUUGCCUGAUAGCUGGGAGACGCUAGUUGUAUCGUUGAGUAACUCCGCUCCUAAUGGCAAGCUAACUAUGGAUACAGUUAAGGAUAGUUUGUUUAACGAGGAACAGAGGCGAAGAGAUACUAUGGUGAUUAGCGCUGAGUCACAAGUUUUUGUCGCACAGAGUAGGGGCAAAAACAAAGGGAGAAACUCUCCUGAAGAUGACAAAUUCAGGGGAAGGUCAAGAGAUAGAAAAGAAGUAAUUUGCUUUCACUGCCAGAAGCCGGGUCACAUAAGACGAGAGUGCAGAUUUUUAAAGAAGGAGCAGUCUAAGGAAAAAGAUGAGGAUAAAGAUUCGAUUGUGUAUCUAUCCGACGUUGAUGUAGCUAUUGUUUGUGAUGAUAAACCCAAGUGUCAUGUUAAUGAUUGGAUUAUUGAUUCGGGUGCUUCGUUCCAUGCUACUUCGCGUGGUGAAAUCUUCACAUCCUACAGUAGUGGUGAUUUUGGCCAUGUGCGGAUGGGAAACGGAAGUGCAUCCAAGAUUAUAGGCAUUGGAGAUAUUUGUUUGGAAACUAACAGUGGUUGCAAGUUGAUGCUGAGAGAAGUCAGACAUGUUCCAGAUAUUCGUUUUAAUUUGAUCUCUGCUGGUAAGCUUGAUGAGAAUGGUUAUAAAAGUUACUUUGGUGAAGGUCAAUGGAAGCUCACCAAAGGGUCUCUAGUGGUCACUAGAGGUAAGAAGGUAGACACUCUUUAUACGAUGCGGGCGCAUGUGAGAGGUGUUGAAGAUGGGGGAGUUAGGCAGAAAAAGGUGUGGUACAAAGCCGUGCGAGAUGGGAGGAAAGCCUUGCAUGAGAACCACAAAAAGAAAGCUCUUCGCUUUAAAUGGGUACCAAAAGUGAAGAAGAAAAGUGAUAGCUCGCAGCCAGGGUACAAAGCGGUUGUGAAUGAAUUUGGCAAGCAAAAAUCUGUCAAGUUUGAGUUAGAUCCUCCCAUUGAGAAGAACCAUGCCGAUGAGACAAAGCCGGACAUGAAGAUAUUUGAAAAUUCCAAGAAGAUUGAGUUGAGCCAAGACUUCGUUGGAAUUAACUCCGAGUAAGGAGUUGUGGUUGGUGAUCCCUCCUCUCAUGGGUUCGGAGGGGGAGAUUGUUGGGUGUGGGUCCUCACCCAUGAGAUAGAAUCCAAGAUAGAAAAGAAUUGAUUUUCUUUGUGAGCAAGUAAGUGGGUUUACUUGAUAUUAAUCCAAUUAGAAAUUGGGUUAAUGGAAGCAAUAUUGGAAUUGGAGAUUCCAUGAAAGGAAUCCAAGUUGAAAAAGGAUUUACUUGUUAGAGUGGUUGGUGACCAAGACAAGGAGAUGUGAUCCCUAAUUUGAUUAGGAGAAUAAAUUGUUUCUAAUCCAUAAUAGGAAUGGAUUAAGAAGAGUACUAUAAAUAAGGCUAUGGGGGAGUCUUAUUUGAUACAUGAGAUAGAGAAGCUUAGUGGUAAGAAGAUACCAAAAGAAUAAAUUGAGAGAAUUACUGUUUGUUGUUCGUGGAUAUCCGCCAUCAUCUCCGUUCAAUUGAAAGCUUGAAGACUUUAUUGCUUGGGGUGUUUUUUUGGUGGUGAAGUUAAUUAGGUUUCUCAACUUAAUUAAAGGUAAAUUUGUAUUAUCUCAAUUUAUUAUGUAACCUCAAGUUUUAGGGCAUAAAACUUGAGAGGAUUAUUGUAAGCCCAUUAUUAGUGAUAUAGUGGAGAUUCGGAGUUUGACCCGUGGUUUUUACCUCUUAAUUUUAGAGGGUUUUCCACGUAAAUUUGGUGUCUUGCUUGUGGAUGGUUAUUUGUUGAUUUCAUAUUUAAUUGCACAAAGACGGAAAAGUAAUUCCUGGGAUAUAGAUUAUUUUUGGCGUACUUUUCCCAACAUAGGGUAUUUUUGUUUAGUGUUGUUUUUUGUGAUUUUGGUCGGUAAAAUGGGGUGGUAUAUCGUGGAUUCGGGCUGUGGAGUAAAGUAGAACAACUAAGGGUUUUGUUAUUUGGGCUUAAAUCUUUUUAACUUUCGUAAACUUGGAAUAUCAAAGAAACAAGCACACCCAAUAAAAUGGUGUUUGUAACAGAUUUGGUGGGUUUCUAUAAAGCUGAGUAGAGCACAUUUUGAAGCUAGGUACACUGGGUCAUUAUUUAUUGUUCUAUUUCAGUCUGAUAUGGAGUGCAUGUGUGAGAAAAAGUAAAUUUUGGAGUUGAAUGAUUUGACGGUUAUUGUUUUCUUUUGUUUUGAAGAUGUUUAUGAUUAAAACUCAAUUUCAGGGUGUUGGACUAUACCUGUAACUUAGAUUCUUCAUGAAUUAUGCGUCUUUAGUUAAGUAUCUUAUACAUGUAAUUUAUGUGCCAUUUACUUAUUUAGUUAGUUGCAGCAAAAACUUAGGAUUGGUUUAGUUUCUUUAUUGUAUACUCUCGUUAUGUUACCUUUGUUUAUUCAAUGGAAGUAAAAACUUGGGCUUGUUUAUGUGCCUUGCUUUUUGUAUUUUUGCAUUUUGGUUAACUUUCAUCCCAUCUCAAUACCAGAAAUAAUCUCCUCUCAUUCUAUCUCACACAGUAAGAAUUUUCUUUGUCAACCAUACCGAAGCUUAUUAGCAAUCACUGUCGUUGCCAGUGACAAAAAAAGACAUGGAGAAUUGCUGGUGUACCAGCUUUUGGCCAACUCAUGUUACAGAGCUGCAAUGAAGGUGAAAAAUUAUGGUUUUUUUUUAAGAAAACCAUCUCUUAGAUCACAGCAUCAACCGCUUUAGAAUUUGAACCCCAGUGUAAUCAAAGGUGGGCUACAGAACAGGGGAUCCCUGUGACAUUGAUUGCCCCUUGCUAAGGUCACAGUCCUUCCACUACUUCAUGCUGGUGGCUUUUGAAGGCGGUAGCAUACUAGCGUUCCUGCUGUUGUUGUCAUCCCCAUUCCUCUGUUUUUUGGAUUACAAGUUAAAAGUUAAGGGUAAUGAUUUUCAUUACAUUUUGUGGGCUGAGAUCAAGGGACAUGGUGAGUGUUGGAAGGGCAGUGUUGCCGAAGUUUUAUCUUGAAAAUCCGAAUCUUCAGGUGUAUGAGAUUUGGUCUGCCUCAGUGUGUAGGGUGGUCUGCACAAGUGUCCCUAGCGUCAUGAUUCAAGGGUUCUUGAAGGAGUAUUUGAGUGUUGAUAAUGUUUUUGGGACACAGCUCCACACUUUCGGUCACUAUUUACUGGUUUGCUAUUUGAUUCUGGCUUGCUUGUGAAGCACAAAGCUCUUAAGGAAUUCUUUGAAGAGAGAAAGCCUGAAAUUGGAAUUUCAAAUCAUCAUGACCAACUCUUUACGACCCUCUUCAAGGUAUACAUUUUUUAUGUUUUAUCAGUCACUUUCUUUAAAUCAUAACUAUAUAUAUAUAUAUAUAUAUAUAGAUAUAUAUAUAUAUAUAUAUAUUUAUCAGUGACACAUUUCAUUGUGUUUUUUUGGCUAAAAAUUCAUUGUGUAAUGAAUUGAUGUUUUACCCCAAAGACAAGCUCAGACACGGCUGACAAUUACUUUUUUGGUCAUGAUAUGUAUGUUACCUUGAAAUUGAAGCUGUGCUUGUUUAUACGGUGUAUAUAAAUUGAAGUUGUGCUUCUUCUAGUUUUAGUCUUCAGUUUUACUACUUUACUCGUCUCCUUCAACCUCUAGUUGCACUGUCUCAUAACCAUUGAUGUCUCAUUUUUACAGAGCAUGCAGUCUUAAUUUUAUUUUCUUGAAGUCUUAAUUUCUCUGUAGAGCUUAUUACAAGGCCAAAAAAUAUACCACACCCAUUUGGAGUUAUUUUUAACAGAAUUUUUAUUUUGUUUUAAAAAAAAAAAUGGAUUGUUUAUUGAAAAUGGAGAUCUAUGAAGUGGGUAUUUUUGUUUAGUGUUGUUUUUUGUGAUUUUGGUCAGUAAAAUGCAUGGGGUUGGUAUAAAGUGGAUUCGGGUUGUGGAGUAAAGUAGAACAACUAAGGGUUUUGUUAUUUGGACUUAAAUCUUUUAAACUUUCUUAAACUUGGAAUAUCAAAGCAAUAAAACAGGAGCAAAUAAAAUGGUGUUUGUAAUAGAUUUGGUGGGUUUUUAAAAAGCUGAGUAGAGCACAUUUUGAAGCUAGGUACAUUGGGUCAUUGUUUAUUGUUCUAUUUCAGCCUUAAGAAUGCAGAUAUGCAGUGCAUGUGUGUGAGAAAAAGUAAAUUUAGGGUUGAAUGAUUUGACGGUUUUUGUUUUGAAGAUGUUUAUGAUUGAAACUCAAUUUCAGGGUGUUGGACUAUGUCUGUUAAAUUAGAUUGUUCAUGAAUUAUGUUUUUUAAUUAAUUAUCCUAUACAUGUAAUUUAUGUGCCAUUUACUUAUUUAGUUACCGGCAAAAAAAACUUAAGAUUGGGUUUAGUUUCUUUAUUGUAUAUUCUCAUUAUGUUACCUUUAUUUAUUCAGUGGAAGUAAAAACUUGGGCUUGUUUAUGUGCGUUGCUUUCUAGUAUUUNNNNNNNNNNNNNNNNNNNNNNNNNNNNNNNNNNNNNNNNNNNNNNNNNNNNNNNNNNNNNNNNNNNNNNNNNNNNNNNNNNNNNNNNNNNNNNNNNNNNNNNNNNNNNNNNNNNNNNNNNNNNNNNNNNNNNNNNNNNNNNNNNNNNNNNNNNNNNNNNNNNNNNNNNNNNNNNNNNNNNNNNNNNNNNNNNNNNNNNNNNNNNNNNNNNNNNNNNNNNNNNNNNNNUAUAUAUAUAUAUAUAUAUAUAUACAAAGAGCCCAACUGGGUAGCCCAUUCAUUGAGAGAAACACUUGAAGAAAUAAGAGUAAAAAAGAAAGAAAAAUCAUGUCUUCCCCAAGCAAACGCAGAGAGAUGGACUUUGAUGAAACAGUUAAUUCUCUAAUUUUUCAUUUUUUUCAAUCUUUCAAUCUAUUAAUUAUAGUUAUUUUUUAUUUUAAUUGUUUAUAUUCUUUUUGUUUUUCUUCUUUUUGGUGGGAUUAGGACAAUGAGUGAUUACAAGGUAGAGAUGAUCAAUGAUGGUAUGUAGGAGUUCUAUGUACAUUUCAUGAUUUCCAUGGCCCUAGUGACGGUAAAUUUUUCACACCCAUGUCUCAAGUUUUAAUCUUUAUGCCUCUAAAUUGAAUUUUUGAGCCUGUUAAUGUUAUUACUUUUGUGGUAUUGAAUAUUCUUGAUUUAGCUAUGUUUGACCUUCUGUACAUCUUAUGGGCAUUCAAUUGCAGCUUUGGAUUGUAUACUUGUUUCACUACUGUGAAAAGAAAGAAAGAAUCUUUUUUGGGGAAAUUCUACUGUCAAUUAAUCUCUCCUUUUGAUAGUGUUUAUAUUAUCUAUUCAAUACCCAUCUUUCAAAUAUAUAAUUUUUUAAGUUUUGUCAUAUUUUCCUGGGAUGUGGGGUCGGGGGAGGAGGGGUGUAUUGUUGCUAGUAGUCCUAUUAGAUGGUCUAUUUGGUAACACUUCGCAUUUUUUGGUACUUUUUCAAAGUCCAAAUCUGGAAUUAAUUUGGGCAAUAAAAAAGAAUAUGCAGGGUUUCCUUUCUGUUCUUGUAUGUAAUGUUCAUGACAGUUGCAGUUUUGCAGCUUAUGUUUUUAUAAAUUUAGCGGUAGACUGGAAAUUACUAUUUUAAUUUCUAAAUUUAUGUUUUUACAAUUGUUUUUCUCAUAAUGAAUGUGUUAGGUCCCUUACCAUGGAGGUGUGUGGAGGAUAAGGGUUGAGCUUCCGAAUACUUAUCUGUAUAAAUCUCCAUCCAUAGGCUUUAUUUAUAAGAUUUAUCACCCAAAUGUGGAGGAAAUGUGAGUAAUUUUCAACAUCUUCAUUAUUUUCCUUGGUGGGAAAUUCAACAUCUUCAUUUCCCUUAAAAGAUUCUUCAAGUCAGACAUUUUGGUGUUCUAUUAAUUUUCAGGUCUGGCUCUGUUUGUUUAGAUGUUACUCCCUCCGUUCCAAAUUAUCUGUUAGUAGAAAANNNNNNNNNNNNNNNNNNNNNNNNNNNNNNNNNNNNNNNNNNNNNNNNNNNNNNNNNNNNNNNNNNNNNNNNNNNNNNNNNNNNNNNNNNNNNNNNNNNNUGAGAAUAAUAAAUAAAAAAUAAUAGAACGAGUUUGAACAAAAAAUUAUAAAAGAAAGUAUAUUUUUUAUUAAAAAAAUACGAUAAUAGUUUACAGUAUUUAUAAGUUUAAGAAAUUAUUAAAUAUUGUUGUAAUAUUAAUAAUAUUAAGAUUUUUAAGUGAUUUAUAACAUUUGGAUUAAGGUGUUAUAAUUAUUGAUAUGAAUUUUAUUGUGAAACUUUACCUUUUUGUGUCGGGGUUACUAUUCACGUAUACGACAUUAUUCACCGAAAAAUGAAAAUUUUCUUUUCGUCCAAGAUGUCUAUAUGGUUACUAUGUUUGAUUGAAUCCAUGUUUUGAUAAUAUAGUUUUUAUUAUCAUAUAUAACAUUUUUAUAAUCAUGGUGAAGAAAUUUCUCUUUGACUUAAGUAUAAAGAUGGGUAGAUUAUUGGUAUGAUUGUGAAUAUGAGUUCUCUUUGGCUCGUAAUGCAAAGAUGACCUGUUGUUGAAUAUCUUUAGCCUGUAGUGCAAAGAUGAAUUAUUGAUGAAUAUCUUUGGCUCGUAAUGCAAAGAUGACUUGUUGUUGAAUAUCUUUAGUGCAAAGAUGAAUUAUUGAUGAAUAUCUUUAGCUCGUAAAGCAAAGAUGACCUGUUGUUGAAUAUUUUUAGCUUGUAGUGCAAAGAUGAAUUAUUGAUGAAUAUCUUUAGCUCGUAAAGCAAAGAUGACCUGUUAUUGAAUAUCUUUAGUCUGUAGUGCAAAGAUAAAUUAUUGGUAAAUAUCUUUGGCUCGUAAUGCAAAGAUGACCUGUUGUUGAAUAUCUUUAGCCUGUAGUGUAAAGAUGAACUGUUGAUGAAUAUCUUUAUCCUGUAGUGCAAAGAUGAAUUAUUGAUGAAUAUCUUUAGCUCGUAAAGCAAAGAUGACCUGUUGUUGAAUAUCUUUAGCCUGUAGUGCAAAGAUGAAUUAUUGAUGAAUAUCUUUGGCUCGUAAUGCAAAAAUGACCUGUUGUUGAAUAUCUUUAGCCUGUGUGUAAAGAUGAACUGUUGAUGAGUAUCUUUGACCCGUAGUGCAACGAUGAAUUUAUUAGUAUGAUUAUGAACAUGAACUGUGAUUUGGUAUAACCAUGAUCUUUGAUGUUUCAUGUAAAGACAUGUGAUAAAAAUUAUAUUCGUCCUGGAUGAGAAGAGUAAUUAGAAUCACAAUUAUAAUUAUGAGUUAUUCUUAUGAUUGUGGAAAGGAACUGUUGAUUGAUGUUACAGGGAUAAAACAUUGUUGGUGGACUUUUAACGUGGAGAAGACAAUAGACUUUAUAGUCUAUUUGACUCUUCUAAUGGAUUGCUCGUUCCGCUGUAACUAUGGUUGAAAAGUUUUAUCAUCUACCAUAUGUUUUAAAUCUCUGAUUUAUUACUGAUGAAUGCUAUUGAUAAUUUAAUUAUCUUUAGUCAUGAUAUUCUUUACUGGGCUAGUUGUGCUCACCCUUUUGUUUCACAAUUCCUUUCAGGUAAUAAGAGUGUAGCUGGGUCGAGCGGGGAUAACAGGGGAAUAGUGUGAUGGUCCGAGACUGUCAAAGUUUCACAAUACAUUAUAAAACAGUUAUUGAUUGUACCUUAUUGUAAUGUACCAAUGUGAGGUGCUGACACAAGUUGGGACAUGAGUCACAGUUGGUAUUUAAACUCACAGUAUACGUGUUGUCGUAUUUCGCACGGCAAUUGUAGUAAUAAAGUUGUAGUUGUUUCUGUACCAUGUUAUUUGGCGACUCAGAAUGGGUCGGAUGGAAUGGACCUAUUUUGGGGGCGUCACAAAUAUCCUUGGCCUGUAGUGCAAGGAUGAAUAUAUGAUUUAAGAUGUGCAUUGAUUGAUGUUACAGGGAUAAAAAUACUGUUGAUGGACUGUUGAAUUCAUAGAUAAUAGUAGAUUUCAUUCUCUACGUAACUCUUUUGUGAAUUAUUAUUUUUCGCUGCGAAUAUUGAUCUAAAACUUGUUGUUUAAUAUAUUCUCUCAGAUUUUUCCCUGUUGAAGACUAACGAUAAUUUGUUCUAUAUUAUCUUAGUCAUAAUAUUCUUUACUGGGCUAGUUGAGAUCACCCUUUUCCUUUUUGUUCCAUUUUUCUUCUCAGGAGGCGAGAAUGUAGCGAGUACGAGUCGGGGUAUGGAAUGAUAGUUCUAGAGAGAGUUGUUUAGUAGUCCUCACCAUUUUUGUAAAAUAAUGUAUCAAUAAUUAUGAUGAGGAAUUAUUUGCGUGUGGAUAUUGUCUAGAUGGCAAUAUCUGUAUUUAAACUCACAGUUUAUAUGUUGUAAUAAUAAAGUUGUAGUUGUUUCUGUACCAUGUAUUUGAUAACUCAGAAUGGGUGAUGUAUACCUAUUUUGGGGGCGUCACAUAUUUAAUUUUUAAUUAUAUAAAUCAUACAGUUAUUAGUAUCAUUUAUAUAAAAAAAACAAUAAAAUUUAUAAUUUUGGUAAUUAUAUUUUUAAUAUUAAUUAAUUUAUGCUAAUUUUGAAUUUAGAGAUAUUUUAUAUUACAUUCAAAAUGUCAAUAUAAAAAUAAAUAAAUAUAAAGAAGAAGAGUAUACUUUUUACAUAAAUUUUAAAAAAAAAAUAAAAAAAAAAUGAGGAGAGAGGAGAGAAUUGUGCUAAAAAAAAUUUAGGCAACACUGGAGGAAAAUAAGGGGUUGGGGGGCGGUCCGGUGCUCUUAACGACCGGUACCGUCCGGUGCACCUUUUUUUUUAUACCACAAUUAUGAGAAUAAUAAAUAAAAAAUAAUAGAGCAAGUUUAAACAAAAAACUGUAAAAGAAAGUAUAUUUUUUAUUGAAAAAAUACUGUAAACUAUUAUCGUAUUUUUUUAAUAAAAAAUAUACUUUCUUUUAUAAUUUUUUGUUCAAACUCGUUCUAUUAUUUUUUAUUUAUUAUUCUCAUAAUUGUGGUUAAAAAAAAAAAAGUGCACCGGAUGUUACCCGUCAAUAAGUACACCGGACGUUACCCGUCAAUAAGUACACCGGACGCCCCCAAUCUAUCUAAUAAAAUACAAAUGAUUUUGAAUUUCUCGCUCACUCAAUAAAUCAUCUGAGCCAUCCAAAGUUUGGGAUAAAUCCCACCGUCCAUACAUCUAUCUAAUAAAAUACAUCUAUCUAUCUAUCUAUCUAUCUAUCUAAUAAUCUAAUAAAAUACAAAUAAUUUUAAAUUUUUUGCUCACUCAAUAAAUCAUCUGGGCCGUUUAAAAUUUGAAAUAAAUUUUAUUGUCCAUACAGUGCCGGAGGCACGGAACCCAGCUAAUUUAAAAUAAGAGGGUAAGAUUUAUAAUUUAGUCUAUCAUUCAAACACAUACCAUCAGUAGUUUAGGAUAUUUCCAAGCAAGAGAGAAAAUUAGAAAUAGAAAAGAGGACAGACGAAGGGCUGCCGCUCAAUUUCGCUGGGAAAAAUCAUAGAAAACAAAUUUAAUGGCGGCGAAAGUAGCGGUAGGAUUCGAACCGGUGGUCAGAACAUUGACCCCGUCGAAGAAGAGGGAGUACAAAGUAACGAACAGGCUCCAAGAGGGUAAAUGUCCUCUCUACGCUGUCGUUUUCAACUUCAUCGACUCUCGCUACUUUAAUGUUUUCGCCACCGUCGGCGGCAAUCGGGUACUCACUAACCCUCUAACUCUUCUUUUACAUAGGUGUUCUUAUUUGCUUCCCUUUGAAUGCCCGGCAAUUUAUUUAUUUAUUUGCUUCCCUUUGCUUCCCGUCGGUCGGACCAUUGUUUAGAUAUGGUGGAGCUAGGACAACAGAAUAGUUUAUAAGUAGAAACAUAUUUGUAAAUAUAAUAUUACUUUAAACGGACCGGACCAUUGAGCAAAGUUCAAUCUGUUUAAGCCUGACAAAAGAGCAAAGUAUUCCACUGAUUAAUCAGUUAGUAGGAAAAUUAAAAAAGGAAAAAGAAAAAAAGGGAGGGGGAAUAGUUUUUGUUUUUAGCUCAGACAUAAUAUUGUGGGAAUGAGAUCGAUGGCAAUGAAGUGCUAAGUAGCCCCAAUAUCUUGGCCUAAACCAAAAUUAGUCAAUUUCAUACAUAUUUUCAACGACAAAAAUAAAUAAAUAAAUAAAUUCAGGAGGCUUGUUUUUUAACAUUAGUAAAGAAUGUAAGUAAUUGUAGCAUAAUCUGUAUAAUAAAAUAGAAUUUAUUCUGAAUUUUUUAUUUGACAAAGCAUAAUGACAGUUCAGAUUUCAUCUCAAUUCUUUCAACUUAAUCUAAAGGUUCAUAUUUUAUCUCACACUAAAAAUUCCCGUCCAAAUCAAAUUUACCCCUAAAAAUUCCCGCUCAAAUCAAAUAACAAUAAUAAUAACAAUAAUGAUAAUGAUAAUAAUAAUAAUAAUAAUAAUAGUAAUAAUAGUAAUAAUAAAAAUAAUAAUAAUUAUAAUUAUAAUAGUAAUAAUAAUAGUAAUAUUAAUUACUACUAUUAUAAUAAUAAUUUUUUUUUUAUUAUUAUUAUAAUAGUAAUAGUAAUAAUACUAAUAAUUAUAAUAAUAGUAAUAAUUAUAAUAAUAAUAAUAAUAAUAACAACAACAAUAAUAAUUAUUAUAAUAAUACUAAUAAUAAUAAUUAUUAUUAUAAUAAUAGUACUACUACUACUACUAAUAAUAAUAAUUAUUAUAAUAGUACUAAAAUAAUAAUAUUUAUUAUUAUUAUAAUAAUACUAAUAGUAAUAGUAAUAAUAAUAAUAAUACUAGUACUAAUUCUAUUUUGUGGCAGGACAAGGCUUCACUUUUGUUCGUGUCCCUCUUUACUAUAUUUUUCCCUCCAAGACUUCGAACACUUCAGACUUCAGUCUAUAUUUUUCCCUCCGGACUUCAAAGACUUCAGUCUUUUCCGUGUCCCUCUCUACUAUAUUUUUCCCUCCAGACUUCAAACACUUCUUGGUCUUUCUAUUUUCAACCAUCACCUGUUAUCCUCCUCUGAUUCCUCUCUCUACUUUUUAAAAGCAUAGACGGUCGGAACCGCCUUUCUUUUUUCUUAUCAGAUCUAUUUGGUGGCGGAUCUAAGCCGGGAUGUAUGAGAUUUUUGGUAGGGUAGGUGGAGGCUACACGAUUUGGGUCUGAUUUGGUUCCACUCUUCCAUCUGCCUAACCUGCUUUGUUCGAAGGUACAUAUUUCUUAUUCCCUCAACUUCUCUGCACUUUCUCUCUCAUACCCACUGAUGUCUCCUUUUUACAGAGCAUGAAAGUACAAAUUUUUUUCGGAACUUUUCUUGAAUAUGUACCCCUUUCUGUAAUUUUAUUUUCUUGAAGCCUCUGUAAUUUUUUCUGCAGAGCUUAUCACAAGGCCAAAAAAUAAACCCACCCAUUUGGACUUAUAUUUAACAGAAAUUUUAUUUUGUUUGUUUUAAAAAAAAUGAAUUGUUUGGUGAAAAUGGAGAUCUCUAUGAAGUGGGUAUUUUUGUUUUGUGUUGUUUUUUGUAAUUUUGGUCAGCAAAUUUUUAUUUUGUUUGUUUACAAAAAAUUGGGUUGUUUGGUGAAAAUGGAGAUCUCUAUGUAGUGGGUAUUUUUGUUGUGUUGGUUUUGUGAUUUUGGUCAGCAAAAUGCAUGGGGGUUUGUAUAUAGUGGAUUCGGGGUGUGGAGUAAAGUAGAACAGCUAAAGGUUCUGUUUUUCCGGCUUCAAUCUUUUUAACUUUCUUAAACCUGGAAUAUCAGAGAAACAAGAUGACCCAAUAAAAUGUUGUUUGUAACAGACCCAAUAUUCCAAGUUUAAGAAAAGCUUAAAUCUUUUUAACUUUCUUAAACUUGUAAUAUUGGGUCUGUAAACAAGAAAGCUUAAAUUUUUUUAACUUUCUUAAAUUUGGAAUAUUGGUUCUUUUAGAAACACCAUUUUAUUAGGUUUUUGACUUUCUUGUUUACUCAAAAGUUUUUGUUUGGGAUUGAAACUCAAUUUCGGCGUCCGACUUUUCCUGGAACUUAGAUUAUUCAUGAAUUAUGUGGUUUUCUUGAAUAUCAUAUUCAUGUAAUUUAUGUGCCCUUUCUUUAUUUAGUUAGUGGCAGCAAAAACAUAUGAUUGAGUUUAGUUUAUGCAAAAAAAAGUAAAUUUUGGGGUUGAAUGAUUUGACGGUUAUUGUUUUGUUUUCUUUUGUUUUGAAGAUGUUUUUGAUUGAAACUCAAUUUAAGGGUGUUGGACUAUACCUGUAACUUAGAUGGUUCAUGAAUUACGUGUCUUUAGUUAAUUAUCCUGUAAUUUAUGUGCCAUUUACUUAUUUAGUUAGUUGCAGUAGAAACUUAGGAUUGGGUUUAGUUUCUUUAUUGUAUACUCUCAUUAUGUUACCUUUAUUUAUUUAGUUGAAGUAAAAACUUGGGUUUGUUUAUGUGCCUUGCUUUCUAGUAUUUUGCAUUUUGGUUAACUUUCAUCCCAUCCCAAUACCAAAAAUAAUCUCCUCUCAUUCUCUCACACACUAAAACACACAGUAAGAAUUUUCUUUGUCAGCCAUACCAAAGCUUAUUAGCAAUCACUGACGGUGCCAGUGAAAAAAAAAAGACAUGUUUUUUGCCAUGGUACUUCUGAAGCUAGCAGAAUGGCUGGUGUACCGGCUUUUGGCCCACUCAUGUUACAGAGCUGCAAUGAAGGUGAACAAUUAUGGGUUUUUCUUAAGAAAACCAUCUCUUAGAUCACAGCAUCAACCGCCUCAGAAUUUGUACCCCAGUGUAACCAAAUGUGGGCUACAGAACAGGGGAUCCCAAACUCUAGUCUCUGACAUUGAUUGUACAUUGCUAAGGUCACAGUCCUUCCACUACUUAAUGCUGGUGGCUUUUGAAGGCGGUAGCAUACUCAGAGCGUUCGUGCUGUUGUUGUCAUCCCCAUUCCUCUGUUUUUUGGACUACAAGUUAAAGUUAAGGGUCAUGAUUUUCAUUACAUUUUGUGGGCUGAGAUCAAGGGACAUGGUGAGUGUUGGAAGGGCAGUGUUGCCCAAGUUUUAUCUUGAAAAUCUGAAUCUUCAGGUGCAUGAGAUUUGGUCUGCCUCAGGGUGUAGGGUGAUCUGUACAAGUGUCCCUAGAGUCAUGAUUCAAGGGUUCUUGAAUGAGUAUUUGAGUGUUGACAAUGUUUUUGGGACACAGCUCCACAAUUUCGGUCACUAUUUUACUGGUUUGCUAUUUGAUUCUGGCUUUGCUUGUGAAGCACAGAACUCUUAAAGAAUUCUUUGGAGAGAGAAAGCCUGAAAUUGAAAUUUCAAAUCGUCAUGACCACCUCUUUAUGGCCCUCUUCAAGGUAUACAUUUUUAUUUGUUAUGUUUUAUCAGUGUCACUUUCUUUAGAUCAUAACUAUAUAUAUCAGAACUUAAUUGUCAUUAGUAUUUCAUUGUGUUUUUUUUGGCUAAAAAUUCAUUGUGUAAUGAAUUGAUGUUUUAGCCCAAAGAGAUGCUCAGACACAUAGCUGACAAUUACUUUUUUGGUCAUGCAUAUGUAUGUUACCUUGAAAUUGAAGCUGUGCUUGUUUAUACGUUGUUUAGUCUUCAGUUUUACUACUUUACUCGUCUCCCUCAAUCUCUCGCUGCACUGUCUCAUGCCCAUUGAUGUCUCCUUUUUACAGAGCAUGAAUGAUUGUUUUUUUUGUUGUUGCAACUUUUUUUGAAUAUCAACUUCUUUCUGUAAUUUUAUUUUCUUGAAGUCUUAAUUUCUCUGCAGAGCUUAUUUCAAGGCCAAAAAAUAUACCCCACCCAUUUGGAGUUAUAUUUAACAGAAUUAUUAUUAUUAUUUUUUUAAAAAUUGGAUUGUUUAUUGGGCUAGGAAUAAAGUAGAACAACUAAGGGUUUUGUUAUUUGGGCUUAAAUCUGUUUAACUUUCUUAAACUAGAAAUAUCAAAACAACAAGCAGACUCAAUAAAAUAGUGUUUGUAACAGAUUUGGUGGGUUUUCAAAAGCUAAGUAGAGCCCAUUUUGAAGCUAGGUACUGGCUCAUUGUUUAUUGUUCUAUUUCAGCCUUAAGAAUGCAGAUAUGCAGUGCAUGUGUGUGAGAAAAAGUAAAUUUAGGGGUUGAAUGAUUUGACGGUUUUUGUUUUGUUUACUUUUAUUUUGAAGAUAUUUAUGAUUGAAACUCAAUUUCAGGUUGUUGGACUAUGCCUAUAAAUUAGAUUGUUCACGAAUUAUGUGUCUUUAAUUAAUUAUCCUAUACAUGUAAUUUAUGUGCCAUUUACUUAUUUAGUUGGUGGCAGCAAAAACAUAGGAUUGAGUUUAAUUUCUUUAUUGUAUACUCUCAUUAUGUUACCUUUAUUUAUUUAGUGGAAGUAAAAACUUGGACUUAUUUAUGUG
rnacentral:lncRNA from 1 species